rnacentral:rRNA from 1 species
AACGAACGCUGGCGGCAUGCCUAACACAUGCAAGUCGAACGAGACCUUCGGGUCUAGUGGCGCACGGGUGCGUAACGCGUGGGAAUCUGCCCUUGGGUUCGGAAUAACAGUUGGAACGACUGCUAAUACCGGAUGAUGACGUAAGUCCAAAGAUUUAUCGCCCAAGGAUGAGCCCGCGUAGGAUUAGCUAGUUGGUGAGGUAAAGGCUCACCAAGGCGACGAUCCUUAGCUGGUCUGAGAGGAUGAUCAGCCACACUGGGACUGAGACACGGCCCAGACUCCUACGGGAGGCAGCAGUGGGGAAUAUUGGACAAUGGCGAAGCCUGAUCCAGCAAUGCCGCGUGAGUGAUGAAGG